rnacentral:misc_RNA from 1 species
GAAAGCCGUAUGCGGGAGAACCGCGUGUCCGGUUUGAUGAGGGGAGGCUGUGACGGAUGGCGCGUGAAUAUGCGUUGUUUGUUGCAGUCUUCUACUCUAAC